rnacentral:rRNA from 1 species
UUGAUCCUGGCUCAGAAUCAACGCUGGCGGCGUGCCUAACACAUGCAAGUCGAGCGAGAAAGGGGUAGCAAUACCCUGAGUAAAGCGGCGCACGGGUGAUUAACACGUGGGUAAUCUGCCCUAGAGUGGGGAAUAACACCGGGAAACCGUUGCUAAUACCGCAUACGAUCAAGAUGUCUUCGGAUGUUUUGAUGAAAGGUGCAAUUCGCUCUUGGAGGAGCCCGCGGCUGAUUAGCUAGUUGGUAAGGUUAUGGCUUACCAAGGCAACGAUCAGUAUCCGGUCUGAGAGGACGGUCGGAUACACUGGAACUGAGACACGGUCCAGACUCCUACGGGAGGCAGCAGUGGGUAAUUUUUCGCAAUGGGGGCAACCCUGACGAAGCAACGCCGCGUGGAUGAUGAAGUAUUUCGGUACGUAAAAUCCUUUCGACAGGGAAGAAACCCGCAAGUGUUGACGGUACCUGUAGAAGAAGCCCCGGCUAACUCCGUGCCAGCAGCCUCGGUAAUAAGGU